rnacentral:rRNA from 1 species
UACGUAGGGGGCAAGCGUUGUCCGGAAUUAUUGGGCGUAAAGCGCGCGCAGGCGGUCGCGUAAGUCUGGUGUGUAAGACUGGGGCUCAACCCUGGAGAGCACCGGAAACUGCGGGACUUGAGUGCAGGAGAGGGAAGUGGAAUUCCACGUGUAGCGGUGAAAUGCGUAGAGAUGUGGAGGAACACCAGUGGCGAAGGCGACUUUCUGGCCUGAAACUGACGCUGAGGCGCGAAAGCGUGGGGAGCAAACAGG